AUUUCGAUUAUGACGUCGAAUUUUCUUGCUUUCCUCUGAAUUUCCUAUUGUGACGGCAUGAAAAAAGGCGACCAUGCCUGAUGACGUCACAUAGAAAGAACACAUCUUUUUGCAGAUCAUUUGAAAAGAAGUAUUGAAUUUGUCUGCAUAUUGUUUAAAAAUCAGUAGAGAAACAGAUUCCACCACCAAAUCUCGUGUAAAACGAUAUUUAUCCACUCUCGACAGUUA
rnacentral:lncRNA from 1 species